CCUACCCCUGCAAUCAUUGCAGGUGUGGCUGCUGUGUCACAUGAGUGUUAAUAGGUGACAGAGAGGAGAGAGGCUAUGUAUAUUCUCAGUGUUCUGACUUGUGAGCAUCUGAAUGAUUAGUAGCCCAACAUU
ensembl:snoRNA Gm25795 small nucleolar RNA SNORA17